AAGAAAACUACAGUACCAGCAAGCACAAGGGCAGGAAAAGGAAGCUGUGAAAGAGUCUAUAAGUUUAGCAAAGCCUCCCAGGAAGCAAAACAUCUCGGGUCAGCUCUGGACAUUUCCAUUUAUUCCCUCCAAGAACAAGCCUUCAUCAGACAUUCGUAUGUGAGAAAGCAUCUGUGACUAGAGAAUGAAGUUGAUGAUGAAUGGGGCAUAAACAGCAACACGGUCAUCUCCAAAUCUCCCAGGCAGAAAAGCAACAUGAGCCCAU